UCCACAAUUCCAUAUUAAUUUAUUAAAAAAACCAGCAAAAUUGUUUCUCCUUUCUUAUUCUUACUCAAGCUCUCAUUUCCUGGGCACAGCUGGGCUGAGAUGAGAUCCUUUGAGGACAUCUCCCAUAUAGGCCAUUUCCUUCAUCUAAACAGGUGUACACCUCUAUUAAGGGAUGCAGGCAAAUGCACAAGGCAUUCCUAAAGGAAAAAGCAAAUCAGGUUUCUGUAGUCUCAGGACAGCUGGCAAAAGAGAAAAUUCAAACAAGGCAUGUUCCCCUCUCUCUGCUUGCUAGGGAAAGGCUUCGUUCUGAAGCAGCCAAGCAGCACAGCAGCCCCAGGAGACAGUGGCUGAUUACCAAGGCUGUGGGGGCUGGCAGGGAGGGCUGCAAGGUUGGAAGCAAACCCGGUGUAGCUGCUGGCACUUGCUCCCUGCAGGAAUAGUGAGUUCAUUUUUGUGCGCUUCCUGAUGCUCGCUCUGCGGUCGGGAGCUGAUAGAAGGCAACGCUUCAACUUCCUGAACCCUCUAAAUAAAGCAUCCUUUCUGUAGAGCUUGGUUUGCUGGUUUUUUUUUUCCUCACAGAAAGGCACAUUGUGCUUUCUGCUUUGGUUGGAUUUUCGUGUUUGGCUCUUUGAAUGGAUAACUUUGGUGGUGGAACAGUUGGAAACUGAUUUCAGAGAGGCUCGAAUGUAUGGCAAAGGGAAAUAUCUUCUCUGGAAUGGCUUGGAACUGCUCUCAGGAGUUUAUUUACAUAGCUGCUCUGUCGUGCCACAGCUACAAGGGUGGCCAAGCUUCCUCUUUAAUCUAAACUCCUUUUACUUAAGGUAUUAAUUCACAAAUAGCUUCAGUUUUCUUUAUUUCUAGGUUUGUUUCUUUCAAGAGAUUACUAUGGCAAGGCAGUGAUUAUUUAAAUACUUGAAUUAAUGCAUAUAUUAGCUCUUGUAAAUUCAGAUGUAGCAAAGAGCAAGUCAGACAGCCCCUGUCUGUUUAUUCACACCACGAUGUGACCCAGUGAGGAUGCAAAGCUCACAU
rnacentral:lncRNA from 1 species